ACUUAUAUAUUAUAAUUAUUAUAAUUAACUUCCAAUUAAUCAAUCUGUUUGUCAGUAUAAGUA
rnacentral:tRNA from 1 species